rnacentral:rRNA from 1 species
AGCGAACGCUGGCGGCAGGCCUAACACAUGCAAGUCGAACGAAGUCUUCGGACUUAGUGGCGGACGGGUGAGUAACACGUGGGAACGUACCUUUUGGUUCGGAACAACUCAGGGAAACUUGAGCUAAUACCGGAUGAGCCCUUAGGGGGAAAGAUUUAUCGCCGAAAGAGCGGCCUGCGUUAGAUUAGCUAGUUGGUGAGGUAAAGGCUCACCAAGGCUACGAUCUAUAGCUGGUCUGAGAGGAUGAUCAGCCACACUGGGACUGAGACACGGCCCAGACUCCGACGGGAGGCAGCAGUGGGGAAUCUUGCGCAAUGGGCGAAAGCCUGACGCAGCCAUGCCGCGUGAAUGAUGAAGGUCUUAGGAUUGUAAAAUUCUUUUACCAGGGACGAUAAUGACGGUACCUGGAGAAAAAGCCCCGGCUAACUUCGUGCCAGCCGCCGCGGUAAUAC